AUUGAACGCUGGCGGCAGGCCUAACACAUGCAAGUCGAGCGAGCGACGGACGGGUGAUUCAUGUAUGGGGGCUGCCCGAUAGAGAGGAAUAACUACUGGAAACGGUAACUACUACCGCAUACUAUCGGAUAACCCAUAUGGGAUUAGCUAGUAGGUGAGGUAAUGGCUCACCUAGGCGACGAUCCCUAGCUGGUCUGAGAGGAUGAUCAGCCACACUGGGACUGAGACACGGUCCAGACUCCUACGGAGGCAGCAGUGGGGAAUAUUGCACAAUGGGCGCAAGCCUGAUGCAGCCAUGCCGCGUGUAUGAAGAAGGCCUUAGGGUUGUAAAGUACUUUCAGUUGGGAGGCGUUACCGACAGAAGAAGCACCGGCUAACUCCGUGCCAGCAGCCGCGGUAAUAC
rnacentral:rRNA from 1 species